AACGAACGCUGGCGGCAGGCUUAACACAUGCAAGUCGAACGGGUGUAGCAAUACAUCAGUGGCAGACGGGUGAGUAACACGUGGGAACCUUCCUAGGGGUACGGAACAACUCAGGGAAACUUGAGCUAAUACCGUAUACGUCCGUGAGGAGAAAGAUUUAUCGCCCUUAGACGGGCCCGCGUCGGAUUAGCUAGUUGGUGGGGUAACGGCAUACCAAGGCGACGAUCCGUAGCUGAUCUUAGAGGAUGAUCAGCACACUGGGACUGAGACACGGCCCAGACUCCUACGGGAGGCAGCAGUGGGGAAUCUUGGACAAUGGGCGCAAGCCUGAUCCAGCCAUGCCGCGUGAGUGAAGAAGGUCUUCGGAUUGUAAAGCUCUUUUGCCAGGGACGAUAAUGACGGUACCUGGAGAAUAAGCCCCGGCAAACUUCGUGCCAGCCGCCGCCGUAA
rnacentral:rRNA from 1 species